ACUCCCUGAUGUUAUCUAUGUCACCAAUCUUCCUGUAGAAGUCAGCGUCAUGUGCAUUGUCAGAACUGCUCAAGCGGCCAUACAGUUUGGUUUGCCCGGACUGAAAGCCCUGUGUGAGAGGAAGAUCCUUUUGGUGAAUUCUUUCUCUUCAUCUGACGUAUUGGAGGCAUUUCUAGAGUCCUAUCAACAACCAGGACUCGGAAAAAAUAGUUCUCUUGAAUUCUGCACUGCAUUAAUGGAAAAUCUUCAUUUUAAUUAAGAAUCCAUUAACAAAUUUGCCUGGCAUUUCAUGCAGAGUAACAGGGACAGCAUUAUAAACCAAACCCGAUUUCUGGCUCUUCCAAAAGAGAUACAGAGAAGACUAACCAGUAUCCCAAGGUGCUCUGACCAGAGAAUAACCAGUGCACCUAGGUGCUCUGACCAGCGAACAGAGAGCAGUGUACAGGUACAAGUGUCAUGCAAGAAGAAAGGCUUCCCCUCAAGAUCCUCAGAUAUUUGUUGUUUGCAGUAAUUGAAGAGUGCCAGGGUUAUUGUGCCAAAUAUUGGAUUUUCUGUGAUUUUUAAAUGAGGUUAUUCAAGCACCCGAUACUUUUAAUAUGCAUUGAAGAAUUGAACUGCUUUCUUUAAAAAAAGAAAUUAUUUUUUAUCUAUUUACAGUACGUGUAUUGAUUUAAAAUUAAUGUAUUUAUAGAGUCACAAAUUAGAGGCAAUCAUAACUAUAGAUAUCUAACUAUUUUACACAAGUACAUAAUAAUGCAAAAUGAAUUAAAUAUGACAAAGUGUAUAAAGAGUGGACUGGAGUGAAAGAACAAAUAAUUUAUUAUGGAUGUAUGGUAUGU